GUGGGGAAUAUUGCGCAAUGGGCGAAAGCCUGACGCAGCCAUGCCGCGUGUGUGAAGAAGGCCUUAGGGUUGUAAAGCACUUUCAAUUGGGAAGAAAGGUUGUACGUUAAUAGCGUGCAACUGUGACAUUACCUUUAGAAGAAGCACCGGCUAACUCCGUGCCAGCAGCCGCGGUAAUACGGAGGGUGCAAGCGUUAAUCGGAAUUACUGGGCGUAAAGCGCGCGUAGGCGGUUUGUUAAGUCGGAUGUGAAAGCCCUGGGCUCAACCUGGGAACUGCAUUCGAUACUGAUCGACUAGAGUACGAGAGAGGGAGGUAGAAUUCCACGUGUAGCGGUGAAAUGCGUAGAUAUGUGGAGGAAUACCGGUGGCGAAGGCGGCCUCCUGGCUCGAUACUGACGCUGAGGUGCGAAAGCGUGGGUAGCAAACAGGAUUAGAUACCCCAGUAGUCC
rnacentral:rRNA from 1 species